UACGUAGGAUGCAAGCGUUGUCCGGAAUUAUUGGGCGUAAAGCGCACGUAGGCGGUCUGUUAUGUCGGAUGUGAAAGCCCUUGGCUCAACUGAGGAAGUGCAUCCGAAACUGGCAGGCUAGAGUACGUAAGAGGGUCGCGGAAUUCCCGGUGUAGAGGUGAAAUUCGUAGAUAUCGGGAGGAACACCGGUGGCGAAGGCGGCGACCUGGGACGAUACUGACGCUGAGGCGCGAAAGCGUGGGGAGCAAACAGG
rnacentral:rRNA from 1 species